AACAAAAUUGGUUUCUUAUCCGUUGAAAAAUAAACAAAUUUUGUUUUUAAGAUAAAAGUUAGGAUAAGGAAUAUGAACGGCCAAGACAGGAGCAAUGACUAAGUUUCAAUCGCAAUUGCCAUUUGGGUCUUGCUGUGGUACCAUUGAACCUCAAUUCAAAAUUUGUUGGCGAUACAUUUUAGACAAACAAACAAAAAGUAGAUCUAUUAAAGUGUCGAUUGCAAUUGUUAAUGCUAAAAAUACGAUGCCAAUCACAUUUGGUAAAGAAAACAACGACAAUUGGAAGUGCGUCAAAUGGGAAACGGAACUGACGAACAGUGUGGACCAGCCUCCAGCUCCAAAAAAUGAGAAAUUCCAGCUGAUCCGUUCCUUGUCGUCGGUUUUUCAUUUUAAUUUGUUAUGCAGGUACGAGCAAAUCAUCAACGCGAAUGAAGCUCAGACUGUAGCUCAGACUGUCUUCAGAAAAGGUUAUUUCGUUCAACGAAAAUACGAGAUUGAGCUAUGCUUGCUGCAAGUCGAUAAUAGCAAUAACAGCGAUCCGACCAGAAGUGAUGCUCAAACUAUUCCAGAUUAUUAUCGCCAACCCUGCGCUGUCUACGUGACCACCAGCGAAAAUGGAAAAUAUGACUUGAAGAAGCUAACUGAUUCGUCAAAUGUUUGGAAGUCUGCAAAAUUUACAAUCAACCUUAGAACUGACCAGUCUAAUCCGAUGUUUACCUUUGAGCUUUGUAUCACCUUUAACACUCUUGGAUUCAACGAGAUAAAAGCCUUGAAGGUGUUGACGGAUUACUUUUUUUUCCAGCAAGCCAACUGCGACGUUCAGUUCUGCUUCCAAGAUGGCAAGCACAUUGCCGGCCACAUGAACAUCCUAUCGGCCAGGAGUCCUGUAUUCGCCGCAAUGUUUAGCCACGAAAUGAAAGAGGCAAGAACGGGCCAAGUUGCCAUUCAAGAUAUUCGGCCAGAGAUUUUCAAAGAACUUCUCCAUUUUAUUUACUUGGGUCGCACAUGUGAACCCCUGAAUAAUGACACUGCUCGACCCCUAUUCGUGGCAGCCGACAAGUACGAUAUCGUCGACUGAAACACGAGUGUGUCCGUUUUCUACUCACGCAGAUUCAAAUAAACAACGCAAUAGAUCACAUGGUUUGGGCGGACCACCACUCGGUUAAAGAUAUCAAAGAAACGGCUCUGGAACUCGUCGUUGCCAAUGGAAAAGCAAUUUGCCAAACAGUUGAAUGGGAGCAACUAACAAAGAACUAUCCGGAACUUUGCUUACUUGCUGUUCGGCGCAUGAUGCUUUAGUCAAGCUUGAGCUAAAUCUCAGCUUCUACAAAAUAAUUACAUUAAAAGAAAAUUCAAGCUUUCUCAAAUGUUACUCCAAGUAGAACCAUACAAAUGUAGCACGAGAUUUUAAAUAAAAGCAAAUAAAAAAAAACAUCCAAAUUUUGAAGAUGAAUUUUUUUUUUGUUGAGUAAAUCAACUGCGACAUAACAUUUUGUUUUGACGGUGGCCGUCACAUCGGCGGUCACAAGAAAAUGAAAUCGCCAUGUUAGUUGAAAAUCAACUCUUGCAGCACUAAGCUGCUCCAACGACGAACCCUGGCGGAAAGUGUAAGACACUAAUUUCCUUGAGUGGGUGUAGCGAAUAUGUGAUAAAAUUAAACAUGCGAAACACCAGUUGCAAUCGGCUCAACACUCGACCGAGCUGAUAUAAGGGGGUCAUGGUUCACGGAAAAAGUAACCGAGUUUUCUGAGCUUAUCUGAACAAUCUUCCGUAUUCAGAAACUAGCCAAAAAGUCAAAAUGCCCUGCAACUCCUCGUUUCCAGCUCUAAAGCCUCUCCCGGGAUCGAAGAAAUCAUUUCCAGACGUUUGCAGCCGUGUUAACAGUGGUAUGGUGAAAAUAUCAAAACCGGAUCUGACCCCAAUGACUUUAAACGCUUCUCGAAAGGUCCACAUUCAUAACUCUUCCGUAUCUGAGCUGCUUUUCGAUCACGGUGCACCUCUUGCCAGUAAACGCUUCAAGCCCAAACCGGGUACUCAUCACGAUUCGUCUGCUGUUUCCGCUUGCCUCAACCAACAGACUUGCAAGCCUUCGAAAACAACAAACGUGAGGUCCAAAAUUCCAGCGAGGAAACCGAUUGUCAGCUGCGUUGAGAGUUCUAAACGCAAAUGGGACAGCGCUACUCUUUUCGAACCGAAGAAAGUGACUGUCGGCAUUUCUCCUUUGCCCGGCAGGAAGAAAACUUUGAACGAUUUCAUGGGCAAAAAAUUCCGGGCCACACCUGCUCCUUCCACCACUCACAAACCUUCGAUGCCGGUGGCGCCCAUCAACAAACUUCAGUCAGUCAGGGAUGUAAACAACAUUAUACAUUUGGAUCCGGCUGAAGAGGCUGAGUUGGAGGAGUUUGAGUUGACUGAAAGGGCAAUCCUUCAACAAGUGGAUGCCCAGAAAGAGAUGACCCCCUCUCGUUCCCUGAAGAAAAUUGGACCCGGAAAAGAAGAUGUUGUCUGCAAGGAAAGAUCUCUGGUGAAAAGUUUGGAAGACAUCAUUUUGAGGGAAGUUUCCAGGAGAAAGACGGCACUUUAAAGGUGCGAAAACGUGGAUCAAUCAAAAUUUCUUUGUCUGAUGUUGCUUGAAAUGUAAGUGACUUAUUUCUGUCGUCGAUUCAUUACACGAGAUUUCAAAUAAUUCAA